rnacentral:rRNA from 1 species
UUGUUGGUGGGGUAAUGGCCUACCAAGGCGACGAUCAGUAGCGGGUCUGAGAGGAUGAUCCGCCACACUGGAACUGAGACACGGUCCAGACUCCUACGGGAGGCAGCAGUGGGGAAUUUUGGACAAUGGGGGCAACCCUGAUCCAGCCAUUCCGCGUGAGUGAAGAAGGCCUUCGGGUUGUAAAGCUCUUUCAGCUGGAACGAAACGGUACGCCUUAAUACGGUGUGCUAAUGACGGUACCAGCAGAAGAAGCACCGGCUAACUACGUGCCAGCAGCCGCGGUAAUACGUAGGGUGCGAGCGUUAAUCGGAAUUACUGGGCGUAAAGCGUGCGCAGGCGGAUUGUUAAGCAAGAUGUGGAAUCCCCGGGCUUAACCUGGGAAUGGCAUUUUGAACUGGCAGUCUAGAGUGUGUCAGAGGGGGGUGGAAUUCCACGUGUAGCAGUGAAAUGCGUAGAUAUGUGGAGGAACACCAAUGGCGAAGGCAGCCCCCUGGGAUAACACUGACGCUCAUGUACGAAAGCGUGGGUAGCAAACAGGAUUAGAUACCCUGGUAGUCCACGCCCUAAACGAUGUCAACURGUUGUUGGGGGGAGUGAAAUCCYUUAGUAACGUAAGCUAACGCGUGAAGUUGACCGCCUGGAGAGUACGGUCGCAAGAUUAAAACUCAAAGGAAUUGACGGGGACCCGCACAAGCGGUGGAUGAUGUGGAUUAAUUCGAUGCAACGCGAAAAACCUUACCUACCCUUGACAUGUCCAGAAUCCUGCAGAGAUGCGGGAGUGCCCGAAAGGGAAUUGGAACACAGGUGCUGCAUGGCUGUCGUCAGCUCGUGCCGUGAGAUGUUGGGUUAAGUCCCGCAACGAGCGCAACCCUUAUCAUUAGUUGAUACGCAAGGGCACUUUAAUGAGACUGCCGG